rnacentral:rRNA from 1 species
UACAGAGACUGCAAGCGUUAUUCGGAUUCACUGGGCGUAAAGGGUGCGCAGGCGGUUGGGUGUGUCAGAUGUGAAAUCCCGAGGCUUAACCUCGGAACUGCGUCUGAAACUACUCGACUAGAGUACUGGAGAGGGAAACGGAAUUCACGGUGUAGCAGUGAAAUGCGUAGAUAUCGUGAGGAACACCAGAGGCGAAGGCGGGUCUCUGGGCAGUAACUGACGCUGAGGAGCGAAAGCGUGGGGAGCGAACAGG